AAUGAACGCUGGCGGCAUGCCUAACACAUGCAAGUCGAACGAGACCUUCGGGUCUUGUGGCGCACGGGUGCGUAACGCGUGGGAACCUGCCCUUAGGUUCGGAAUAACUCCCCGAAAGGGGUGAUAAUACCGGAUAAUGUCUUCGGACCAAAGAUUUAUCGCCUUUGGAUGGGCCCGCGUUGGAUUAGCUAGUUGGUAGGGUAAAAGCCUACCAAGGCGACGAUCCAUAGCUGGUCUGAGAGGAUGAUCAGCCACACUGGGACUGAGACACGGCCCAGACUCCUACGGGAGGCAGCAGUGGGGAAUAUUGGACAAUGGGCGAAAGGCUGAUCCAGCAAUGCCGGGUGAGUGAUGAAGGCCUUAGGGUUGUAAAGCUCUUUUACCCGGGAUGAUAAUGACGGUACCGAGAGAAUAAGCUCCGGCUAACUCCGUG
rnacentral:rRNA from 1 species